rnacentral:lncRNA from 1 species
UUUUUUUUUUUUUUUUUUUUGGUCGGUAUCAUAUUCAAAUUUACCUGAUAAUUGGGGGUGGGAAGGUCGAGGUGAGAGGUAACACUAUCUAGUUCUUACAUUUCUUUCAGGGAAAUGGAAGGGUACAAUCUAGGAUCUACGGUUUUAUAGUAUUCAUUGAGUUGGAGUUGGGAGAUAAUUGUACAAUUUUGCUAAAUUUGGUCGGAGGUUUCGGAGACAACAACGUUCAUAACACAAGUUGCUAAUUCUGCUUUGUAGUAAAUUUGCGGAAGCUAUCCCAACCACUUAACGUCUGAGGAUGGGCGGUGAGACAAGAACUGGGACAAAUUAUUGACAAAGUCAAACAAGAAACGCUGGACCAAGCAAACUGCAAAAGUAUCCAUUCCUACCAAUUACCAAUGAGGCAAUCACAGCCGCCACGCGCUCCAGUAAUAAAUUCAAGUUACGAGUAUUAAUAGUUACACAUGAUUUUGCUGCCGACGACCCAUGCUCCACAAUAUACAUGGGAGUAUAAAUUAUUUCGUCGAGAAAAUAUUUUUCCCACCCAUCAAUCGAGAAAACUAUUUUUGUGGUUAAAAGCAAAGUGAAAAAAUUUUCCAGCCCAUCAAUUGAGAAAACUAUGAAUCAGCACAUAGGAUGUUCAUAAUUAUAUAUAUUCUCGCGAUCGAUCGCCUAUUGUCUUUUUCCAUUACAAAAAAAAAAAAAAAAAAAAAUCUCCUGUUCUAUCUUAUUGCCAACUUGAAAAUUCAGAAGCCUUGUUGAUUUUUUCUUUUUUAUUUUUAUUUUGGUGGAGAGAGCACCGACACAAGAUCUUUGCUCUUUUGCCUUCGUUACCAUACUGACAAUUUAUCCUUGUUUAAAGUAAAUUUUACUGUCAAUUUAUCUUGUUUAGCAUCAAGAAGUAAGCAGCAUUCGACUAGCACAAACACAAUGGUAAAUCACUUUUAUAUUAAUGACACGAACAAUCCACAUGGCUACAACAGACUCAUUUACUUCUUCAAAUCGGCCAACGCCAAAGCCUUCACAAGUUUUCCUCCUACUGCAUUAAACUCCAUGCAACGCGGCUAUUGGACAAGAAAGAUAUUCAUACAUAUGCAUAACCUUUAUACAUGGCAGCACCAAAUUUAACGAACCUCUGAACCAGCCCCACCACCUCCCUUAAAUUCCUAUAAUAUUCCCGUAAAAUUUUGAUAUAAUUUCAACUAUGCCGCUCGAAAUUUUAAGAAAGUGAAAAAAUUAUGUGAUUUUCUAAAUUAGUUCAUGAAUUAAUAUUUUAAAAGGAUAUCUGGAUCACAAAAUUUCAUUUGAAAUAAACUACAAAAGACUUUUCAUUUUAACUAAUUGAUGAAUAUUUUUUUUGCUUCAAAAAUUAGAAAAAGAGCCAAUAAAACAUUUUGAUAUUAUUACUUUUACCCCCACUGAAAAUUUUUUCUGGCUCUGCUCCGAACCACAAAACCCAUGUCAAGAUUUUGGCAGCUAUAAUUCAUAAACUUCACCAAAUUAUACGCUCUGGAGAGUCAAAUCAGCAGAUUUGGAGCAUUUAUAGUACAAAGAGAUGCCAACUUAAGAACAUUAUUACUACUUGGCAGAUAUGGAGAAUAUGACAGAUGAUAAGAUGAUUGACUAUUGUAGCAUUUAUUGGGCAUGUGAUUGUGGAUUUUCUGAAGCUGGUGCAAUUAAUUUCUAGCAGAGUAGUUGAGCAACAUUAGAAAGAGAUGCUGAACUGGUCAAAACUCCAAGAAAGGGCAACAAGCUUGAUCUACAACAAUUAGGGCUGCAAUGGUUGCCGUAUCUCUUUCACUUGCACCGAUGGAUGCUUUACCCUUUUUUCUGCUGGGGGACAAAACUGUCAAAAAAUAACAAUAAUCUUGUGCAUAGGUCCCUCAUACACGUUCAGUUCUUCCAGAUUCCGGGCCACUUUAGCGUGCUAUGAGGAGCAGGGAAACACCAUUUGUUGCUGAUAAAAACGCGCGCAAUAACUCGAGAAGGUUUUCAUCUUCAAAAUACAUCAUGCAUGAGUGGAAUCCAACUUUGCAUACACUGGAUGCAGACACAGAAAUGAAAUCAGAAGGCCUUUUCCUCGUCUCCUCUUGAAGUUGAAAAAAGAAUAAUACAUCUAAGCAUAAAAUCAAACGAAGUUACUGCAGAAUUUAAGCUACUUGAUCAGCAGAAUACCAACUUUAACUUCUAUUUAACAGAAAGUAGUCAGACGAAAGGGAAAUAUUGCAGCUACUAGUUUUGUUUAAGCCCCAACAUUCAGCAGCAUUAGCUAAUAUACGAUUCAUGUCUCGAUAAGAUAAGCCACCAGCUUUGACGGACAGACAAGUUAAUUAAUUAAUAACCAAAAAGAUUGAUCACAGAAUAAGCCAAGCCUUUCCUGGAACUCAAAAUGAAUCCAAUCCCUGCUGAGUGUAAGGAGCCCUCGCACAAGCGUGAAUUGUGGUAAGCAAUGCUUCAUGAGCAAACACUGUCAAGAAGGAAAUACAGAUUGCAUAUCGCAGCAUGGUGAUUAAGCAUUCCUAAUCGUUUACAGUAAUCACAACAACAUCUGAAAUUCUAAGUUGUGAAUGUAAAUGUACCUAUCCUUGACUUGAGCUCUUAUCUUGGAAAAAAGAUAGUCAACAGGUAGAAUUGAUAAUACAAUAGGAGUUGAACUCUUACAAUUUCAAAUGAGGAUGUAAAUUUAAAAAAAAAACACACACACACAUAUUCGGCUCUUUCAGUUUUUUGGAGCUGCUUUAGCAUGUAGCAGGGAGCAGCGUAACAUCAAUUACUUGUUGCUGAUCAAGACAUUCGUAAUACUCCAGUUAAUGAACUUAAGAAAGGUUUGCAUAUUCAAUAUACAUCAUCCAAGAACGGAAGACAACUUCAAACAAAGUUCUGCCAAUAGAAGCUAUGUGUGAUGCAGAAAAUUUCAGCCCAUGGAAUUGGAAUCAAAAAGACCUUCUGUCUCCUCUUGGAAGUGUUGAACAUAAUUCACAAGAGGUUAGAAUCAAAGUUCAGGCAAAACUUAAUUUGCUUCAUCAGAAAAUAGAACUUCAACUUCUAUAUCUAUAAGAAAAUAGUCAGCCAAAAGGAAAAUCUAGCAGCAAGUGGGGCUAUUUUGAAUGACUAGCAGGACCUUCUUUAUGCCACUUGAGCCAAGUAUAAUUACAGCAUUUAGCAGCAUUAGGUAAUAAAGUUUGGUGACAUAUAGACAGCAGCUCAAAAUCAUUUCUUUAUUGUUAUUUAGAAUGCUUGCAGUGCUUUGCCGGAAAAGAUGCAUCAGCUACUUAUGAGCUCAAAGUCUAUCCAGAUAUUAAUUUAGUAAACAGGGGUCACGUAGAAAAAGAUGAUAGUCUAGGGACUGAAUUAUCAAAUUGAAGUUCAAGAUGAAAAGUAUUGCAAGUAUAAUAAUGCGAGGAUGCAAAAUGGAAUCAGUCUUUUCUAAUUCAAUUUUCUUUUCUCAUUUUACUCUCAGAUUUGCACUCUGGAAGUUCUCAUUCAGCCCUAGUCAUGUAUAAAAUUAACUUAAAAAUAGAAAGAAUACAUGGAUAGAAAAUCAUGAAACUUUCAAAGCAUGAAACUUUUCACAUCUCUAUGAUUCUUAAUGUAACAUGACCAGAGUCUAAGGUUGAAGGUGAGGGCCUUUAGCUAUGAGGAACCAGUUUGUAGGACAACUCCAGUCAAUGUGAAUAUGUAAUCUGUCCAAAUUUGUUGAUACUACAUUUAAAAGAACAAUAAGAUAGAUGGCAUUUAGAAUCCUAUAAGAAAAUCAUGAUUGAACUUUUUUUGAAAAGAAAGAAGUUACACAUAUUACUAUACUGGAAACAGGUUCUCAGACCAAUAUUAUAGCACAGACAUCUUAUUAAGAGAAAGCUGUAAUUUCAGAGAUGCAUCACAUAAUGUUAAGUUUCAAAUACACACAACCCAUAGCAAAUCAAGAGCAAAAUUGCAACUGACUUCCACUUACAAGAAACAAGCAGGAUGUGAUAUGAUUCUCAUGCGAAAAAAAGCGCACAUACACAAAGAAACCCAAAAGAGAGGAGCUUAUAUCCAUAUAAAAUGGUAGCAGACCAAAAGAUGCAUAUCACUGACCAAUAUGACACAAACUGAUACAAUCAUUAUGUGAAAUUCAUCAAACUAGCUCAGCAGGUAAACUACAUUAAAGUACGCCAGGCAUUUUUUCUGAGUCAUUAUAUUCAGGAUACAGACUCUUUAGGCUAUUGUUUACCAUAUUGGAGGGACAAUGAUCUGUUUGUGAAAGAUAAGGUUUAAAUCCUUUUUCAUCAGAAGACCUCACAUUAUUGCAUAUCUUAAUGUCGUUUAACAUAUCUUGACACCCAUAACACUCCUAACAUAAUAUUCUAGCAAAGCAAAACCUAUUGGUCAUAAAAACAGCAUGAUAAUCAUCCAAUUCUGCAUCUGUAAUAAUUUAGUUGCUAUUUGUUUCUUAAUGCAAUUUAUAAGCAUUUGAGAAAUAGAUACAUUCUCUUUGCAAUCUCUUAACAAGAUAUUCUCGAUGAAAAUGGAUCUGACAUAUGAUACCAAUAUCCAACACUUUGAAUUGAAAUCUUAAAUUAUGAUUAGCUGAGAGAAUUCAGACUAUGCACUGCACGUCACUGUACCAAAUUAUCGACCUCUGUCAAUCUCCCCACCCUUUGAAACAAGACAUACAGACAGAAGGCCAUAUUACCCAGCAACUAAGUCUUUAUCAAUGUCCCAGACGAAACAAGAGGAAAAGAAUAGUCCAAUAUGUUCCUUUAUCAUUUCUACACGAACAGAAUAAAUUGAAGAGAUAAGAAAACACAAGUUUGCAAUUGUCACAGUGAAUUCUGAGAUUCAGUCCAUUAGAAGAUUAAUAUCCCCCAAUGCUAAACGAGAAAGGUGCCCAACCCAUAUUGUUUCUCAUCAUAGCUUAUCCCUACCUAUACAUUAACUUUUAGAAGAUAAAUUUACUGACUAGAUUAAGAUAAUUUAGGCAAGUCGAAGGUAAAAACAAACUUAGUUAAAAUGACUGACUGAGGCUAGCAAAAGAAAGGGUUAGACUAAACAUUAUUAGGAAUGGUUUAACUAAAACAGAUUCAAGAUUUAUAACUAUACAGGAAGUAUUACACUAAAUAGAGCCAAAUGGAAGAACUGAACUCAUCUAGAAGAAAGAUUAAAGCUUGAAAGAUUACUGUGGUGGAACUCGAUUUGGGUUAAUUUAACAUGAUAUUGUUCAUGUUCUCACCGCUUAGAUCACCAUUCACUAGGUACCUAAGUAACAAAUUCAAGCAACAAUACAGAACAUAAGGCAUGCAGUUUCCAGUUAGCAAGGUUUUCAUUGAAAUGCCUCCCUAGAAAGCCAGUUUCACACAACCUAGAGCCAUUCGGCUUUCUGUACCAUUUAAUCUUUCACUUGACAAGCAAAUUGGAACAAAGGAAAAUUUAACCUCUCUAUAGUGAAAAAGUGAAAGUAACAUAACUCCAAGUUUACCCUCGGUGAUAAGAAGACUACUUACAAAACUAGGCAAACACAAAGAGGUUGUCUAUGCCACAUGAUUUGUGGCUUUUUGUUCCACUUCUACAAUUAGUUCAGAAUUCUGCUUUUUACCUUAUCUCCUUGAGCCAUUCUGACAUCAUUGGAUGCAGAAAUGUGUUUUUCCCAUUUAUUGUACCAGUUCAGUAAGGAAUUUCCAAAUUGUCCUUCGCCUUUCUUGUUUGUGAAAAGUUGGAGCUUUCUUCCUUUGCUAUUUUCUGAAAGUUGCCCACUGUACUAAUUUCAUCCUAUAAGCAAGAGUAUACUCCAUCCCCUGCCUUGGGAAGCUAUUGGCACAGUUUAAAAGCUCCAAGUAAGAGAUACACCUAUUGCAUAAAUGGUUUCUGUGAUUGAGCUCUAUGGAAGCCAUCUUUAGCUGCACACAUCCCAGAUUAAUACUUAUUUCUAGAAAUCUACAAUUCCCUCCGAAAUGUUAUGUGACUAUUUCAUGAAAUAGGAUAAGGAGUUGCAUACUUCCAAUAUAUCAUUCCUAGAAGACAAACCUUCCUUCAGAGUGGAUGAUGCCAGUAAAAUUGCUGCCCUUAAAUUCGGCAUAAACAUUUCAGAAGAACUCAGAACUUCAAAUUUGAUCAAAACCAUGAGUGAAGUGCCCCAAAUAUCAGAUGCAAAACUUAUAGUCAUGUUCCAUGAAGCUCCAAAAUUGGAUUCCCUUUUUUGCUCCCUUAUGUUUUUCAUAAACUUAACAACUUCUGCUUGAAUGAUAAGGGCAAGAAUAUAAAGAAACUGAUUCAUUAGGGCACGUAAAUCGACUUGAUCAACGUUAUCUACUCCAUGAAACAGCUUGGAAUUUAUACUCAUAAUCUGCUGAUAACAUUCUCAUAACUGUGAAAAUACAAAAGCUCAAGCAUAAUCUUAAAAUUCAAGUAGAUCAUUUCAUUUACUCCAAGCUUUUUUGUAGAGGUCUUAAUAACAACCAAAACUGCUUUUUGAUAACAUUUUGAAGUGACUACAGGAUAGACAUACACAAGCAAAAGGCGUCUUCAAACCCUGAAUUGUUCUCCCAUAAACUCACAAACAUGAGAUGAUCACAAGUCAGUUCUGCUAAAUGUCGAGGCAGUGUACUGUGCAGCCAUGUCCUUCAGAACUUGGAUCAAGCCCUUCAAGUCAUUCGUACCUAACUCAAGACAGUCCCUUAACAAGUCACCCUCCACCACCUCUUUCUGCAUUGUCUCAACAACUUCCCUAAAGGGUCCCUGCGCCAUACCCAUUAAAAACCUUUAAAAAAAUCAUCUUUACACGGAAAAACAGUGCUUUAUUUUAUAUUUCUAAUCACUUCCAUCUGUAAGCUGCUUACCAUGUUCCAGAAACUUGUACUUAAACUAGAAAAUAAUAAAAGAAAGAGAACUUCAUCCAAAAAUAAAUUCACUGAACUUAUUCAUUCAACUUGAUAUUUAAACAAUCAAUUAUUCCCAUAAUCACUGCAAUGAAACAUCUUUUAACACUAAGCACUAAUUCUGUUAAUUUUUGUCUAUUUUACAAACUUUACAAGCUCGAUUUUAAUGCUUUUCUUUGAACAUAUGGCUAUUUUCUACAAUACUUUAGCUCAUUCAUCAACUAAAAUCUUUCAAAACUUAGCUGAAGAGACCUUACCAUGUCACAUAAUAGCCAUACAAGAAAGUUUAACGAAAAUGGCACGCUUUAAUCUCUAAUUCAUAAAAAGAGCAUAAUUUUGGGCUCAUUGUUAUAAAAUAGUAAUUUGUACUCACUUUUCUACAAAAUUUACACUCUUUAUUUACAUUUAGCAAUUUGUAGACAUGUCCAUAAUUAUGCUUUUUUAACUAAGCAUCGCAUCCCCCCCUCCCCAAAAAAAACACACAUAUCAAUGCCAGGAGAAAAUUUUUAUUAGGUUUAAAUUGCAGAGGUUGGGGAAAUAAUAACUCAAAAAAAUAGAGAAAAAAAGCAUUACCGAUUGUCGAAAUAUUUUGAGGAGUUUAUCAAACAGCGACCUGGAAACGGUGAAGACUCUAUUAUAGUUUCGGCCGACCCAGGCGACUCGCUCGGAAUCAGAGCCGACUCGGGACAACUCGUUGAGCUCCCUGAGCAACUCGUUAAGGUCGGAAACGGCAAAGGAGAGGUCAGUUAUUGAGACCGUAUUGAUAUCCCGCCAGGCGUAAUUUUUAAGAUAGUCCGAACCGAGGUUCCAAGUGAAUUUCCAGAGGCCUAGUCCCUGAACUGACUCGAUUUUGUGCGCUAUAGUUCGGGCACGGGCUGAGCCCGUGAGGUCGCCUCGUGAGGCACGGAGGUUGGCAACUCGCACAGCGAGCGAGUGGGAUAGGGAAAGUAGAGUGCCGUAGUUGGAGAGAGGGAAGGAGAGGGAAAAAGUGGGUGAUGGUGCGAAGAGGAGGAAGAAGAAGAGGAGGAAAGAGAAGAGUUUGUUUUUCACGAGAGAAGUAAGCAUUGACUGAGAGAGAAGAGCAGCGCCGCUUUCCACGGUGGCGGUGCUGGAGGACCGGCGGUGGUUCGGAUCUUGGAGAAUGGCGGGGAACAUAGGCUCCGUGUAAUUAUAUCACAGGGUUAAUCACAUUUUAUCCCCUUAAAGAAUAUUUCAUUUCUCAGUUUACUCCCUAACCUUUAAUUUUGCUCACUUAACCAUCUGUAGGACAAAAUUACCAUUGCAUUAUUUUGACUUUUCAUUUACCUUGUUUUCCUUUCUUUUAUUUCUUUUUCUCUUUCUUCUUUAUUUAAUUCUUCCUCUUUCCCACAAAAAUCUUUAUCUUAAUGAUUGAAAUUAAAAAAAAUAAAUUACAGAGAUCUAUCUUCUCCUUAAAUGAUUAAAAAAAAUAUUCAAAUCACUUUCCUAAAAUACAAUUUUUUUAGCCUUUCAAUUCUUUUAAUUUUAAAUUUCUCUCUUUCAUUUCUAGUUUCUCAUUUUAUUUCCAAGAAAAUAUUUUAAGAUGAAAUUAUAAAAGUAUCUUAUUUUCCAUUUUGUGAUGUCUCAAAAUAUUUAUCUUAUUAAGAAAAUCAAGAUAUCUUUUAAUCUCUUUUUCUAAUAUAGUCUUUCUCUAUAAUCAUAUACGUGUUACUAUUCAAAUUCAAAUUUUGAAUUUGUAUGGAUAAAAUUGGAAAGAAAAAUACAAAUAUCACAAUCAAAUCACUAUUUUUUAAAAGUUGAAUUCCCAAAAUAUGAUUAAAUAAUUGGAACGAAGGAAGUAAUAAAUAAGACAUGCUCUAAUUAGAACAUGGGCUCCGUGAAUAACUAGAGCAUUAAUUAACUAUUAGUAAAUAAUCAACAAAAUAACUGUUGAGAAUUUCUUUAAUGGUGAACAGCGACAUAUAAUUAUAAAAUAACGCCAAUUGAUAUAUCAAAUGGCGCUAUUUUGUGAUCGAUAAAACUUGAUAAUGACAAGAAAUUAGUUGUAUACAAUAUCAGAAGAAAGCUUUGGUAGAAUUCAUGUGGAAAUUGUCUUUGAAACACUUGAAACUGUAGUAGUUGUAAAGAAAUUUUGCAAAAAUAAAGAAUAAAUGAGGGAAAAGAAAAGCAAAUUUUGAAUUUUUUUAAUUCAAAAUCACAAAAAUUGUAGCAAAACUUAUAUUAAGAGAGAUGACUGAAUUUGGCGAUCAUUAGUGUAGUUUUGUUGCUUAUUUAUGUUGUCUAAUGCAUUAAAUGUGAACUUUUUGAAUAGGGUAAUAUAUGUGUUAAUUGUUUCUAACUUUUAAUUACUUUCAUCCUUUUACUAAUAUAACUUAUAUAUAUGCAUAAGAAUCAUUUAUGAAAUAAAAGUUUCAUUUUUUCGCCAUAAAGUACAUAUUUAUUUUUACUUUUUUUGACUUAGACUAAUGUUGUUACCAAAACCCUAAUUUCAGAGGAGGUUUGUGUAAUUUUGCAAACUUUAGGGGAAGGUUAGUGAAAUUGUCAGAAAUCUCAGGGAAGGUUUCUAAAAUUAUCUCUUAAUAUUUUUUGUCAUGAUAAUUGGUACAAAACUUUUCAAGAAAAGAAAAAAAAAUUAAAGGCAAAUAAAUGAAAGAUUGAAUGUAGAUGGUGAUGAAACUUUGAAAAUAAAUAGUUUUAGUUGAAAUAGUUCUUUCUUUGAAUCUAUAGUAUUGCAUUCAACAUCUUGAAUAUUAAUUUUGUUAUUUAAAAGUUAAAAUUGAAUGAUAUUUAUGUAAUUUUUAACUAUAUAUUUUCAAAAUAUUUUUAUUUUAGUUAUUAUUCACUAUAUGUUCAGAAACAUAUCCACAUAUAUCUAUUAGAUAUUUAGACUCAUGAACGUCUAGGUCUGGAUCUACUUUUUUAAAUUCCAUAAGUGUUUGAGUUUGGAUUUGGAUACUUACAUCCUAGUUAUAUUUAUUUGGAAACUGGGGACUAGGAAGGAGCAUGAAGUUAUGUUUACGAGACUGAAGGGCCUAACUCUUGACUUUGUACAUUGAUGGAGAAUUUGGUUAUCAUCUCAUCAAAUUAUUAAUGACUCAAUUUAAUUAGAUUCACGUCACCGUAAUAACUUUUCUGAUUCUGUAGUUAAUAGUUACUCCACCGACUAGUGGAGUAAUAAAGAAUUUUACGAGUUACACUCGCCCUCAUUUAGUGCUGUAUCGAAACUAGCAUGAGAAUUUAUUCAUUCACCUGCAGACUUGUUUAGACUUCAAAACGUUUGAAGGCCUAGAAAGUAAAGCAGCAAAAAAGUAAAGCAGCAUGCAUAGGACAGCAGACCAUAACAUUUUCAAGCAAGGGGCUCGAACUCCAAAGGGACAAUUCCAGGAAAUGGCCAGGGUCCGUCGGUUAAGUGCCAGUCUCAUUCCCUUUCAUAACUCACAGUUUUUUGUAUGAGUGUUUCGAUAAAUGGACUCUGCGAAGACACUUCAAAAGCCGGCAACUUUUGAAGUGCUCCGCAGCACUUAACUACUAAACCCCCCAAACCCCCCCAAGCGAUGUGGGAACUUAACCCCACAGGGUGCCCCGCUGCUAAGAGAAGUCUCAUUCAUUCGUUCAUCAUUCAAUUGUUCCUGUGAUUUGGAGUAAAGGCAAGGCAGAAAAAGUGGCAGGGGUAAAGAUGAGAUGACAUUGACAGCAACAGUACACUCUCUGUUUUUCGGAUUUGGGGUAGGGACGGUCAUACUGCACGGUUAAGGGCCAAGAUUGGCCCUCAAAAUUUUGUGCGACUGAGAUUACACCAUGUAACUCGAUUUCCGCGCCAAGUGUGGGAUCCACCACUAUCUGUUGUGAAAAUACAUCUUGUGAAAAAAAAGUUACACGAUGUACAAAGAAAGUUACGGCCAGUUGAUAAUAACUACAAUUGGCAGGGACGGUUGCACCUGCAACCGUCCGUGCCCCGAGUCCCUGUUUUUCCAUUCCUGCCACUUCCGGAGACUCUGCUAGGACUGUCGAUGGGUUGGGCGAGUCCGAAUUCGGCUCGUUCGAUCCGGCAAAAAAUUUAAAUUUAAAAAUUAAAUUUGAAUUAAAUAUAAAUUGGGUUUGGGAUUUAUUAGGCUCAAAUUUGAUAUAGGUUCGGUCCUUUAAAUAUUUAUAUUUUGAUAUUAUAUAUAAUUAUAUAUUCAAAUAUAUUAUUACUAAAUACUAAAUAUAUAUAAAUUACAAAAUACAUUUAAAAAUUCUUUUAUGAGCUUUCUUGAGAACUAAUAUUAGUAAUUCAUAACUGAAUAUCUAACUUUUCUUAUUGGUUGAGUAAAUUUUUAUGUUGGCAUAAUAUUGGUUGAUUUUUUUUUGUCUACAAACACAAAUCAUCAAAUAUGUUUGGAUUUAAAUCACAUGGUUAUAAAAAAAAAAAAGUUCAACUUUUAAAGAUAUAUUGGAUAAUAAUCACAUGUUUUAUUAUUAUUUUUCAUGCAUUUUGAACGAAUUAAAUAUAAAUAUUGUUGAAAACUUUCUGGUUUAUAUACCUUUUAAGAACUAUUAUUUGUUCAUGUUUAGUUUUAAUAUUUGUAAAUGUUAAAUUAGUUUUACAACUUGAUAGUUAUAAUAGGUAUAUUAAGAAAAUUAAGGAGCAAUAUGUGAAAUUGGACUAAACUCGAUUAACGCUCACAACUCGAACAUUAUGUGAGUUGAGUAUGAACUUCAUAUUUAUGAACAUGAAACUCAUAGAUCGAAACCCGAAAAUGCUCCAAAUUAAAUGAAUUGAAUUUAAACUUAUGAAAGUCCGGCUCAUUGGACCGGAUUGAGAGACCUAGACUCUGCACUCCCAUGCGCUCCUUUAUCAGUACCACAUGCAUAUGCGCUUUUCCUUUUAUUCCUUUUAGGUUCCUUGGUCUUCGUUGAUACUUUUUCUCUUUUCUCUUUUUGCCUUUGUUUUUUGUCAGUACAAUUUGUUUUCGUGUUCAUGAAGCAAGAGUAUGAACUUAGAAUGCUGUGAAUACAAGUUAAUUCAAUUAAUAAAAUGAUUCAUUUCUUUAUAUAAGAGUCAUAUGUUCAAAUCAUGUUAUCGAUAUAAAAAUCGUAUUGAAAGUGAUUUAUAUAAAUCUCUACAAGCGGUCUAUAGUAACUAAUGUUACAUCUACCUAAAUUUUUUUUAUCAAAAAAAAAAAGAAUAUGAAAUGUCCAAAACAGCAAGGGCCAGUACCUAGAGAAAUCUUAAACAGCUGCCCUUGCUUUUACUCAUAAAGGCAUCCUUUUACACGGUGAAGUUGUCUAUUCUCCAUUUCCUUUCUAACGGAGCAAGUAUAAAAUUUUCUAACCUUGCCUUUGAACUGGUGGCCAUCACCUAGCUUGGUGGGGUGCCUCCCACCAAAAUAUCACAUUUAAAUAAUUUGCUUCAAAAAAAUUCAGACGGGUGUGUCAUGCACCCGUUUAAUCCGAUGAUAGUUCAAUCCUCUCCGAAUUAUCCCUGGACCUCCUUAGACCCGUCCUCUCCCCUUAAUGUAGUAUAGAUUAGAUUAUACAACUGUUGUCGUCUCCGAAAAAAUAUAUAUAUAAAAUUUUCUAGCUGGCUACCGGGCUGACAUUCAACAAAAAAAAAAAUUCCAAGCAGGCUGCUGGGCUGUCAAAAAAAUUUGUUAAUAUUUGUUAUGUGAUGUUAACAACAACGAUAAGAAGCCUGCUCUUAUAUUAAAGGUUGGCCGACUUGACUACUUACCAUCAAACAUUGACAAAGCACAGCAAUCAGCUCAGUUGAUCGACCAAGGAGGAAAAGACACACAGCGCAACGACAUUUUCAUCCUAAAAUGAUCGAAUACAUAGACAGGCCCAAGGUCGAACACUUCAAAUAUCAAGGAUCAUCAUAAGGUAGAGCAUCCAUCCCUUGUAGUACAAGUUAUAUAUGACAUGACAACAUUAUACAUACGUAUUUAGCAUCAUAAGGUAGAGGGACUGUUCAAACUACCAUGCAGACAUCUUUGAUUCGCAAGAUACAUUCAGCAUUGCAACUGACAGUGGCAAGUCAACAACUUUGAUGCUUAAAGGGGAACUUCCUAGUAAAGUCAGUUGAGACUAAUAAUAAACCGUAGCUCGCUGGGCCUGCCUUGCGAUGAGGAAAAGCUCCAUAGAGAAAUCAGAUUAAUGCUGCAGUCAACAGUAAAAUGUAUUCCUCCAAAUUACUCCUGCCACUCACAAUAUACUACAGCCUUUUUGACCCUUUCUCUUCUUUUUCUUCUUAUGCUUCGGGGGCUGCAGAACCACCUUAAUGGCGGCAUCAAAUACACCUUUCACAUUCUGCAGAGACAUCCACAGCAAAAUUUAGAACAAUUAGAGACAAUGAUUUCAUAUAUUCAUAAACAUAAAAAAAAAACACACACACACACACACCUGUUGCGUUUUUGCACUACACUCAAUGUAUGAAGCAGCCCCAAUCAGCUUUCUCAGCUCCUCCCCCUUCAGCGAAAGUUCAAAAUGAGGUCUUUCAUCACAUAAAACAACUGAAUACUGAAUUUCUAUAAUUCCUUCAAUCAAGUGGAUAAACACGCCCAGCCAGGCGAAAGGUAAAAUUGAGAUACAGAGAAUUUAAGAUAAGUGCUUCAGUUCUUAAAUCCGUACAACAUACCUGAGCUGUGGUGAUGGGCACUGCUCCUGGAUGAUCUACAAAAAACUGCUUAUCAUCCCGGAGAUCUGCCAACAGAUGAAUUAGCAAGUUACUGAAACUGAAGGACCGACCUCAAAACAUGUUCUAGCUGUAUGAACCUCAAAAUUUUGAGUGAUUUGCAGACAGGGCAGAGUACACAGUAGCAACUAGUGGCUAAAAGAAUGAAUGAAAUGUAUUCCACGAUAAACUCCUGAUCCGAAUAUCAGUAACCCCUUCAUUCCUAUCACCAUAGGAGGCUCUGAAGUCAGUAACAUUGUAUAGGUUCUCCGAUUGCAAAAACAAAAGGGAGACUACAUCACUAGUCAUAAAACACGGGGCAAAAAUUUUAACCCAUGAGUCUCAAUGACAUCAAUGCAAAAUCAUAGUACCUAGAUUGAUCGCUGUACUAUAAUGCAAGAAGUCCCUAGGUGAUAAGUUAACUAAAAGCCUCACCAGGAAUUAAAAGAAAAUACUUAAAUUCUAAUGAGAAUUGACAGUAGAUGCGGUAUGGCAGAACCAAGUCAUGUACUUUUACGAGAAACAUCCUUAAAAUAAUACAACCAUUAUAAAAGUUGAUUUGAGAUGUAGCUAAAGUGAAUCACCCAAGUAAUUCCUCCAUUAGGAAAUCAAAAAACUUAAUAAUAAUAAAGUUGUAGCAUUCUUGAGCCACAUCACAUUAAUAUCAAAGGUUCAGUAUAUGCCUCUAAAUACUACAUCUGGCACGAAGACUGCACCUCUCUUAACCCCGUCCAGUUCACAAACAAUGAACUAUACCAGCUCAGAAUCAGUGUUGCCAUAGGACAAAGCAGAAACUAAAACAAAAAUUGCAUGGAACGCGACUCACCAAGUUUUGUUCCAACAAGGAUUACUGGUACUCCAGGAGCAUAAUGCCUCAAUUCAGGAAUCCACUUGAGAGUCAAAACCAGAAGAAAAGAAGAAACAAGGAUAAAAUCCAUCAGAUAUGAUAUCAAUAUAAAUAACCUAAUACAUCAACUUGCUUAAACUCCUGCAUGAAACAGUCACCUAAAUUAUCCUACAAUGCUAAGCUCAUUAAUCAUUUAAACCCUCGCCAACCAAGAAAAAGAAUAAGAUAUCAUAAAAAUCACUGCCUAUAUUUACUCCUGUGAAUUUCCUAAGAAAUAUGUACCCAAAAGAAAAAAUUAGCUGCAACCCAAAAAUGCACUGCUAAUUAUGUUUAGUCAAGUAGGCUAUCAGGUCAUGGCAAAAAUGCGUGCAUCCGAUUUCCUUCUAACAUUUUCCAAGAAAUCUAAUUCAAAAGAGAUUUGACAGCCAAAGGAGGCAGGAAAGCAAGGAUGUCAAAAGAAACCUCACCUUUUUUGAGACAUUCUCGUAACUGGCCUUGCUAACAAGAGAAAAUGCAAGAAUAAAGACAUCUGCACCACGAUAGCUCAAGGGUCUUAAUCUAUUGUAAUCUUCCUGCCCUGUCCAACAUAGUGAAAGAGUCAGAACCGUGUCCAGGAGAACUUCAAAGAAAAUUGAGCAAAUCCCAUGACAGAUAUAAUUGGCUAACCUGCAGUAUCCCACAACCCUAGAUUUACAGUGCUCCCAUCCACUACCACAUUUGCACUGAAAUUGUCAAACACAGUCGGCACAUAAUCCUGGUGACAUAGCAGGAGUAGAAUUUUGUGUAAGGAAAUAUCCAUAUUGGGUUACAGAAAAAAUAGAUUCCUGUUUGUCCUCUGAUACAAUUUCGCAGAAUGAAACAUAAGAACCAGUAUUAUUACCAUGUAUCCAUUAAAAAUUUAAGCACCUGUUUUUAGGAAUUCUCUAGACCAACAAGAAUGAAGCAAAGCAUGCAAAAAGUCCUAGAGCUGACACUUACAAAUUUGAGCCCAUCCAUAUAGAUUUCAAAGACUAAACAUUGUUUACCUUGAAGAUUGCUUGCUCAUACAUCCAAAAAGAAAAACCCAAGCAAAACUUGCGCGUUGCAUAUUACCAGCUAAAAUCUUCCCUGUUCAAUUUAUUAAUUUCAGUAAGCGAUGACAACCCAUAACCACCAAUUUCCUAUGUUAAAUUUUCUGAAGUUCCCAGCCUUUCCCUUAUCCUUCAAAGAAGAACCCAAAGACACAAUAAUUCCACUCCAAGAAUAAUAAUUUCUUAUCAUUAUCCCAAAUUGUUCAAAAGCAAAACAAUUGAAAAUGGAAUGAUACGUUCAGAGGAUCAUAAACCCCAAAUAAGAAAGAUAAACCCAAUUUGCGUAAAUCAGAAAGCACACUUUAGCAAACAAAUCCAAUCAUGCCAAUUAUUUGAAAGUCACAAAAACUAUUUGAAGGCCAAAAUUUGAAGGUCACAAAGACUAUGCCAAUUAUGUAGGAUGUAACAAUAGCAAUAGUAAUCAUACACUGCUUGGAUCAUUACUCACACCGACUCAAAAAUCAGCACAGAGACGUCAACAGGUGAAACGUUCUCAGACAACAAACCUUCAAUCCUGAAAUGUUAUUUGAUCCCAUUUUCAAGUCCCAAACAAAAUCAUUUCCAUGUUGAAGGCAGCGGCCAACCAGUUCUACUAAAAGCAUGCAAGUAAUAUAGCAUCAGAUCCAGACAAUUUUUGUUGAUUGUAAUCAAACCAGUACUAUUCAAAUUGAUUUUUCUGAGCUCCUAGAGUUUUCAGUUGUAUCACAUUCAAAUCCCGUGUUUACCGUACAUUACAUGCUAAUGUGUAACAGGCUACCUAACAGUUUCUUAGAAUGGAAAUCAUCCUUCAUGAGCAGCCAGUGACAACCCAAAUUCCACUUUUCAGUUAAACCUGCUACCAUUACCUCCAUCCUGACUCUUUCUUUCUCAUCAAAAUUCUCAGCAAAUCUAUUUAAGUUGAAGUGCUAAGCCAUAUGGAUGGCAUCAGACAAUGGUCUUUAGUUAACAUCCACUUAGAAAAUUCUCCCAAAGUCCACUUAGUUUUUUUUUUUCCGCACAAAAGUCACAGCAGGAAUACUAGGCAAGAAAAACACUCAUGAAAUGCACCUUUUCCGCAAAAUUAACAAAACCACAAAAUGCAAACAAAGUCAUUCAAGAAUAUGAUCGCGAAAAGAACCCGGAAAACCCAAACUCGAUCAAAAAUCAAGAAAUGAUAAUCUUACUAGCCUCAAUCGAUAGCCAUGAAACUUCAAAGAAAGUGAAAAUUUCAAGAUAUAAACCCCACCAGUAACAGUAUCAGAUGGCAGUAAACCGAAAGAUCCCAACUUUUCGUUUUUUCGAGAGAGAGAGAGAGAGAGAAGAAAGUGAUAGCAUGGGGCCAAAAAAGUUGAAAAGAAAAUGAAGGGAUUACUAACAGUGGGAAAGGUAUUGCUGGUGUAGGAGAUGAGUAGGCAAGUUUUACCCACAGCUCCGUCGCCGACGGUGACGCACUUAAUGAACCUGGACGCGCUCAUUCUCGCAGCCUGAAAGCCUCAAAAUGUCAAAACUAUUCCUCCGGCGGGCCAAUUCUUGCUUGUUUGUUUCUUAUUUUUUGAUCAGCACUUGGGAGUUCUCUUCUUGAGCUGUCGCUCCACUACUUGUUCAGCUAGUUUGCCGAGUAUCCAACUGCACCCCCAAAAAAAAAAAAGGGGAAGGAAUCUUUAAGAGGGGAAAUCAAAGCCCUAAUUCUAAAGAACACUAAUCAUAAAUGGGACGAAACGUGUAGAGGUGGAGAUUGGAAAAAAACAGAGCACCUAACUUUGCAAACGCCGAGUCAAGAAUCACUAUUGUGUAGCAUUAUCACCGAUCCAUCAAAAUGACUGAUUUUAUUAAGUGAAAUAAAAAAAAGAAAGGAAAAAGUUCGUUGUUAUUGAAAUCCAUUCACCUUUGAGAUUGAGUAAAGUUUAUCUUGUGGUGGUGGCAGUGGCAGCAGCGGUAGUAGUUAGCACUUAGCAGCUCCCACAGACUGACUCCUUCCCCCAGUCCCAGUCCACCAGGACCAGACGAGGACGGCCCUGCCCUCCCAAACCAACCCAGAAAAUUAAAAUACAGAGUUAAAAUCAAAAAAUAAAAACAGAGUUAAGAAAAUGGGAGAGAGCGAGAGAGUGAAUGAAUGGAGGGAGGGACAGCUUGAAGCCAGCUAAUAUUUGGCUUGCUUUGAGAGUGAGAGUUAGAGACCGCCAAUCAUUUGUUUGCACAUACGCUGAUACGCAUACGCAUUCCGCCAGCAGCCCCAAUCCCAGCUUCAACGACCCUCCUUCCUCAAAUAUUUUUAUGCACACUUUUCCUUACCCCCAAAAGUUUCUUUAGGCUUCGUUUGGGAGUUGAGGAUUUGGACAGAAAAGAAAAGGAAAUAAGAGAGUUUUUUUGUUUGUGAGUUUUUAGUAAGAAAGAAAAAAAAAAAAGAAAAAAAGGAAGGAUUCAAAAGGAUGAAUAGUCGGUAAAAUUUUUCCUCCCAAAUUGGAUGAAAAUGGAGAGACAAUUUGAGGAAGCUUGUAAAUUUUUUUUAAAUUAUCCAUGUUAUCUUUAAAAUGGUUUUAAACAAAUAUUUAAUGACUUUCAUAUCUAAAAUUAUUCCAUUAAUUCUCAAAACUCCCAAACAACAUAACAAUCUCUUCUCUUCUUUUUUUAAAGCUUAGUUUUGGAAGUUAAGGGAUAAAAAAGAAAAGAAGGGAAAAUUUAAAUUAUGAGAAAAGAGAAGAGAAGGGAUUGUUAUAUUGUUUGGGAGUUUUGAGAAUUAGUGGAAUAAUUUUGGAUAUAAAAAUUAUUAAAUAUUUGUUUAAGACCUUUUUAAGGACAAAAUAAGCAUUCUAAAAAAUUGACAAGCUUCCUCAAACUUUCUUUCCAUUUCCUUUCAAUCUGGGAGGAAAAGUUUUGGCUACUAUUCAUCCUUUUACAUCUUUCCAUUUUCUUUCUUUUCUCCUUACUAAAAUCUAACAAAUGAAGGAAAACUUAAUAUUCCCUUCCUUCCCUUUCUUUUUUGUCCAAAUCCUCCACUCCCAACCGAAGCCUAAGUUUUCCCUUCUUCUCCUUUCUAUCCUACACUUCCAAACAAAGCCUUAAUUUCGGGACAAGUGGUAAAUUAAUGGCCGAUGAUACUAAUAAAAGACGGAUGGUUUUUGUAAAGGGUGUUAACACAUAUAAUCAAUAGUAUUUUUUUUGAAUUUAUAUACUUUCUUUAAUUAACGAGCAUUCAAUAUUUGAUUUUUUUCAUUAACUUUAUCUAAACUACAUGUUAACCGGAGUGUUUGAUUAGCAUCCAUAGAUGGACCAUACAAAAUGAGAGUAUCCCUAAUUACCUUUAUCUGAAAUAGAUGAUAAUAAGUGUCCAAUGAACACUCAUUAGACGGACUCAUAAAAAAUAAGAAGACGAAGGCAUCCAUUAGAGAGACUCGUAAAAGAUAAUAGGAUGAGUUCUAGUAGUUGUAAAAAUAUGUGCACGAAACUGUCUCAAUUACUAGUCUACAACGUUAUAUAGUAUGGAUAUUAAAAUUUUGCAAAAGUGUGUGCUAGACUUACGAGAGUUUACAAAACGAAAAUACUUAAAAAUGUAGACAUAAUGAGAUGAGAUAAUAUAUAAAUUUGAAGAAAAAAAUUAGUAACUAAAACUUAUCUCUAACUUGCAAAGUCACAACCUUUGUAAUAUUCUUUUUUUUUUCUUAAAUGGAUAUGGUUAAAUCUUAACUUCUUUCCCAUAAUUGAUUCUCCUUUCUUCAAAUAGGUAAUAGAUGAGCUGUUGCACUCGGUAUAUCUAUGUAUUUUCUUUCCUUGUUCCCCAAUCCAUAUUCCCAAAUUUGUGCUAAAAUCUUAGGCUUCAAAUAUCUUUCCCUAAAGAAUAAUUUCCCGAAAGGAAAAUUGCUCUUUGGUGCUUGGAAUCGUCACAUGGCUUGGGUGCUAGGAUUUGUCGUUGCUUUCACCAUCAAUCUGCGUGAUAUUUUUCUUUUCGUCUUAGCAUUUAACUGAUUUUAUUUUGCAAGUCUAAUAGGCUAAUACUAUGGAAAAUUAUGUGCUUCUCAUAGGCUUCCACCCCCAAAAUUCUAUGCUCCUUGUAGGUUUGUACUCCCAAUGAUCAGGUAUAGAAUUCGAACUCUAAAUCUAAUAGCAGAAUAUGUUUCUUAUAGGAUUUAUAGGCUUUUUUUUCCCCUUUAAGGUGCAAAAGUAGUAGAAUUAGUUUUCUUUUUUUCCCCUUUUCGCAUUUUAGCUACCAUGUGUAAUAAUUUUGUUUUUUCCUUCGAUAGUAACCUGCUUGUAUAAUGUUAAUCAGGAAAUUUAGUGGAUAAUCAUUCUUGAAACAUGGGCCUCGUUUGGAACCUGAGUUUUUUGGACGUUGAUCUAAAACUUUACUAUAGAUCACUGUAAAAAUUGUAGAAAAACUUUUGUAAGAUGAAAAACUUUUUUUCCUUUUCAUUUUCUUUCUUUCAUUUUCUUUUUCUUUUUCUUUUUUUUCCUUUCUUUCUUUUUUCUUUUCUUUCCUCCCUUCCCCUUCCCUCUCCUCCUUCCCUCCCCUGUUCCUCUCCCGAAACUGCCAUCAAGCAAUCUGCAUCAGAAAUUUUUUUUUUUGCAUUUUCUCUCCCCAUCUCCUACCCCGCCACCUCUCCCUCCCCCCUACCCAUUUUCUCCUUAAACCUCUCCCUCUCCUCCCCUCUACCCUUCCCCCUCCAACACAAAAAUUUUAAAAAGCCAAAUCCACUCUCUCCAUUUCCUUUUCAGUUUCCAUCACACACACACAUACUCUCUCUCUGUCUCUCUCUCUCUCUCUCCGUUCUUCUUGGCCGUUUCCGGUAAACCUCUUUCUACUUCACUACUGCAACUUUCCAUCUUCAUCUUCUCCACAAGAUCUCGCUCAAAUCACCAAAACUAUACCAUGCACUUCACACACAGCUUUUCUACGCGCGUAUCUGCGUUCCCGUAUAAGUAUUUGUAACUACAUGCGAGUUGUCCUUUUUGUUUUUUUAGGGUAAUUUUGCUGUGUUUUGUGGUGAAUCUGCUAAAUUUUAGUGGAAGAGGAGAUUUGUAAAGGAAAUGGAGGAAAAUGUAGGAGCUGAAGAUCGCAAAGGGAGGAAGUCCGUGGCUGCGGAAGACUAACUGCCACUUUCCCUAUCAGUUUUGGGAGUUUGAUCCGAACGCCACCAUUUUGGAAGGAGAACUAGCCACAAUCGAGGAGGCUCGCGAGAAUUUCUGCAUUAAUCGGUUCGAGAAAAAGCACAGCGGCAAAGGGGAGGAUGGCAGGGGAGAGGGAGAAAGGGAAAAAAAAAAAAGGUUGACCGGCACCGAAAGAGGCGAUCGGCGCUGGAGGUGGUGGUGGGUUGGGAUGGGGAAGGAAGAAGAAGAAAAAGGGUAGGAAAUUUUUUGGAAGUUUUGUGUGUUUUGGGUAUUUUAAAGUAGGGCAAAGAAUCUCAAUGGCCCUCAAACUAUUAGUCGGAUGAACUUUUGGUCCCCAAAUAAUUAAAAGUGAAUUUUUGGCCCCCGAUCUAUCCAAAAUACAAAAUGUUAGACCUUCUGUCAAAAUCAGCAGUUAAUAUCGACGGAAUCUACGAUCACGUGAGACGCACACCGAAAUACGAAGGGCAUUUUUAUCCACAAUGAGCUGUGUUCCACUCGAUAAAAUGGAGCUAAAAAUAAUUUUGACCAAACAGUUUACUUUCACCACUAUCUCUCCCUCUGUCUGCCAUUAUCGGCUACUGCUGCAGCUUCUCGACUACCAGCACCGUGGAAAUGAUUAAUGUAAAAAUGACUGCUUUGAGAGUGAAGCCAAACAAAGCCUGCAUGCAAGAGGCACUACAGAGCAUAGCCACCAAUCCAAAGCCUUAAAGGGGUGGUGGGUCUCCCAGUGACGGUUGUCAAAAGCACAAAGGCAGCAACCAACAUAAACCCCAAGUUCCAUAUCAAAUCAAGAAUCACGAAGCGCCUUGAGAAUGGACAUUCUUGGCCUACUGGGAGUGAUGGGCCAUGGCCACGGUCAUCCCCAUGCUCCUCCCUCUCCUCCUCCUCAUCAUCAUCAUCGUAAUUAUUGAAGAAAAUCCUGUGGUGGUUCAAGGUGGCAGAGGUAAGUCUGGAGAAUGUGGUGGCUAUAUUGGUGGGGGGAGCUGCUGCUAUGGCCAUUCUAAAAAAGAAGCAAGCCUUGCUGCUGGUUCUCCAGGUCCAUUUAUAGGGAUGAUAAAAUUCCGGUGGCUGCAAUCUACUCUUUUGCCCGAUGAGAGAGAGCUGGUGCGGUCGGUGGCGGUAGUGAGUUUUGUUUUGUUUUGAGAGACACGGUUACAGUAGCAGUAGAGCAAAAAGAUGCUCUGUUGGUCGACUCUGCUGCACUUUGGGAAGUGGGGGCCUACUGAGGAUUGAGGAGAGACAAUUAAUCACCCAUCUGUGCAAUUCUCCAUUUUGCAGCGACUUUCCUUUCUUGUCUUCUUACUUCUUCUUCAUAUGCAUCUCUUUGCUGUUCAGUUACAUUAAUUCUUUUCAGAAGCCCAGGUAUGACCUUCGUUGACCGGCUGCACAUCUUCUUGUCAAUUCACUGUCAAAAGCUGCAGCCACCAUCCGCACAUAGCGCAAAUCUCUGCCCAGCAGCCACAAUUCGUGCAUGACCCUCGAUAUUUUCUCACACCUGUACAAUGGGAAAGGCGGAUUGUUGGUUUCUUGCAUGCUUCCAGUUCAGCAACUUCUUUGGCUGCAAUGGAGUUUUUCUUUGUCCAAGUUCGGGAAGGAGUCCCAUUUAACCGAGUGGAACACAAGUCAUUGUGGAUAAAAAUGCCCUUCAUAUUUCAGCAUGCGUCUCACGUGGUCGUAGAUUCCGUCAGUAUUAACUGCUGAUUUUGACAGAAGGUCUAACAUUUUGUACUUUGGAUAAAUCGGGGGCCAAAAGUUUACUUUUAAUUGUUUGGGGGCCAAAAGUUCAUUCAGUUAAUAGUUUGAGGGCCACUGGGACUUUUUGCCCUUUAAAGUAUGUAGGUUAAAAACUUCGAUAAGUUUUUUGGGGUUCUUGUAGCAAAAGUUGUUAAAAAACUAGUAGUAUACAAACUUGUGAAAAAAUUGAUGUUCCAAACAGGGCCAUGAUUAUUAUUUUCUUUAAUUUGGUUCUCUAUCCACGGACAUGUGAAAGGAAUUUCUAUAUCUCCUAAAAGCUCUUUUACUUUGCUUGUGGACUGAGGUUAGAUUUAAAUUACAAAUUAGGGUUCACAGUUGCCCCUUUUAUAAUUUGAAAAUAAAUUUCAUAUUUUGACGCGCAUUAGAUAGUUCCCAAAGAGAUCUAUUAGCCAAACUUGAUCCUAUGGAUUAAUGUUAGCUUUAUUACUCAAUUGAUGAUGAAAAUUGAUAUAUUCUGUAAUUGCACGAGUGAGUUGCUAGUUGAUGUAUUAGCAAAAAAGACAAAUUUUUCCAAGUACAUCUAUUCAAUCAUGUGCACAGAUAUGGAAAAAUUGCACAAAUCAUCCCUCAUAUAUUAGCGAUGUGAAAAUUUAGUCCAUGAGAACGAAAACGAGCAUUUUUAGUCUAUUCCAAAUAGAAAAUGAUCAAUUUUGGUCCCUGUUAGCUUUUCCGGGUAAAUUCUUGACGGACCCAAUUAUUGGAACAUCACGUGACCAACUUUUGAGGGACAAAAAGGGCAAGUUACUCAUCUUAUUUUUUAAUUUUUUUUAAAAUAAAAAAUUGAAAGACCCGAUAAAAAUUGGGAAAAAAACCCCAGAAAUCAAAUAAAAAAAGAAAAGAAAACUAUGAAGAAACUAUACAAACUAAAAACUAGAUAAAAAAUUUUGGAUACUCUGGAAAAUGAUAAAGGAUAAACAAAAUAAAAUAAAAAUCAUCAAUCGAGUCCAAAUUUUUGAAUAAAUGUUGCCUCUUCUGUCUAAUGUGCCGUCAAAAAUCAAUGUUGAAUUUGGUUGAAAAUUGGAUAUUUGCUUCUUCCAUUUGCUUUCCCUCUUCAUUUAGAUUUUGUACAAGUGAUUCUGAAUGAAGGCCGUGAUAAAGAUGAUAAUUGAUGAAGAAGCACGCCAAAGAUUAUUUAGUGAAUGAUGUAUGUCAACACUAAUGCCAGCAGCAUUAGAACGUAGGCUAUCCACUAAUCUAUCGCAGUACCAUCGCUGCUGGUGGGAGUAGGAGCACGGGCAUUAGCCAUGGCAGCGGCAAUGGGGAAAGCAGUGGCUAAAAUGAGACAAAUGACAGCCACCAAUGCAAUUGAAGCCCUUGACAACAUCUCCAUUGUUGGGUAGGUUAGUUUUGUCUCCGAAAGAAAAUUGGUUUCCGUUCCUCUGCGAUGCGAACAGAAGAAUAUUGGAUUUCUUACUCCCGUUCCUCUGUGAACAGCGGCUAUGCCUUUGGUUGAGGGAGGAGGAGGAGGAGUCGCAGCGGCAGGGUAUGGGGGCAAAUCACUUAUCUUAACCAAAAUCUAAACUUAUGAGAUUUUUUCUUUACUGAUUUUUGUUGCCACCCCGAAUUGCUUCGCUUCAGGGGCUCAAAGUCUUAGACUUUGGCAAUAAUCAGUUGUUCGGCGAGUUACCAAGCCAACUGGGUGAGUUGACUCGUCUUGAAAUCCUCACCCUCGGUCCCAACCUCUACACUAGUGUCAGUCCGCGGGAGCUUGGAAAUUUGGCCUUCCAAGUAAGUUUGGUGGUUCUCCCAUGGCAACUUCAAAGAAAUUUAGGGAUUUAAAGUGCUUUGAAGGAAGAAAAAUACCUAUCAUCUAUAUUUUUGUCAAGAUCUGAGUGACUUGCCCUUUUUGUUCCUCAAAAGUUGGUCACGUGAUGUUCUAAUGACUGGUCCGUCAAAAAUUCACACGGAAAAGCUAACAGGGACCAAAAUUAAUCAUUUUUUGUUUGUAAUAAACUAAAAAUGCUCGUUUUCGUUCUCAGGGACUAAAUUUUCACAUCGCUAAUAUGUGAGGGACGAUUUGUGCAAUUUUUCCCACAAAUAUCAUUGAAUUCUGUAACUAAUUCUGAUUAUAGUCCUAGUGACUUCGUCAUGAAAGGGAAAUACUAACGAACAUUAUUUGAAGAGAAGUAAUACACCAUAAAAAAGAAAUAUAGAAGAGUUAUUUACAUUCGAAAAAGCACUACUAUCAUGCGGUGCUAAACUCGAGUUUUUAUGAAUAACAAUCGAGAAAUUGUAUUUAAUCGCACUUUCACUAUUUAUUUUGUUAUGUAGUCUGAUAAAUAAAAAUCACAUGAUAAAAAUGACAAUGAAAGUUUUUUUUAUUACUCGUUUGACCCUAUGCCAUUGUGCGAGCUCUGCAUAAAAGGCCUUCUUAACCUUUAGUGCAUCUAACAAUUUAGUCCCUAUACCUUUUUUCCCCCUUUUUCUUCAUCUCUUCUUUUUUCUCUUACCCAAACACCGCAAUCAUAUAGAAUCAAACCAUAAACAAAGAAUUUUGAGAGAAUCACAAAUGAGGGACCAAAUGGGUUUGAAGGUAAAACUCAAUAUUCAAUGCGUAAUUCUGAUGAUUUGAACAUCAAAUGAGUUCUCAUGAUAAAAGGUUUGCAAUGGUAUAUUGAUUUCAGUUUUAAAUUCUCUAGACACAAUCUUCAUUUUUUCCUCAUAUUCUUAAUUAUCUUGAAUUAAUUGACCAGAAAAAAAAUGAUAGGGGCUAGAAUAGUAGAGUAAGGAGUAAAGCGUGAAAAAGGCGUUUGUCAAUUGAUGGGUGCAUCUACCUUGUAUAUAAAAAUAAAGGGACGUUUAGUUCUUUGCCUCCCUUGUUGCCACUUGGCUUCCUAAUAAUUUGACAAGUUGCAUAACUCUAAUAUUUUUCUUGCACAUGAGUUUUCUUGCCUCUUGCAUAUCGUUUUUUUUUUUCCUGCUCUUUCUUCAUGCCAAACCGAGCAAGUCUGGCUCCUUUAUUCUCCUUCUGAGUCCAAUAAAUUUUGUUAACCUUAAUCAUCACCAUUAGAUUAGUUUUAAUAUACUAAUACUACAUUACAACCCUUGGAUCAAUUUUCAUUAUGUUCUAAUUGUCUACAUAUUAUAUAAGAAGACAUGGGAAUUUAAUGUAGCACUCCCAUUUCUUGACAUAUGACACAACUCUCCUUCGAAAAAUCUAUGAUUUUUUUUCUAUUUUUUUUUAUCUCCCUACUUCUAUCUUGAUGGAUCAAGACAAAAGAUGUACCAUACAGGAUAAGACAAAAGAUUUCAAUUGCAAGUCGUUUUGCAUAACUACAAGAACUUGUAUUGUUUUUAUAUAUUGUCUAAUUUAUGACUAUAGAAUCAAGCUUUAUAGUUUAAUGAAAAACUUUUAAUCAUUGGAUAUUGAUUAAUUAUGUUUGAUUAGUAGCUAACCAACUAUUACAUUUAAAUAGCUCCUUUAUGCAAUCAAUUAAAAUCUCUUUUUCUAUUUCUUUAUAAAUUGUUUCUAAAAGUUGCACAGAAAAAUCGGAUUUCUUCCUUCCCAAUUGUAUUCAACUGUGCACCUGUGUUUAUUGCUUGCCUUCAUUAACUUCAAGAUCAGUUAUGGAUUUAAUAGAUGCUAUGUUUAUUGUCUCCUUGAUUUAGAAGAGCUAACUUCAUAGAUGGAAUUUUUUCUGAUGCUCGAUUUUUCUCGUAUUUUUGUCUAUUAUGUACCAAAAAAGUUUUACUGUUAUAUGUUCAAUUAAGUUAUGAAGGGGGCAAGGCACAGCCGAGAUACCUCUAGCAUUGCCUAGAAAAAGCGAAUUUACAAUCCCAAAAAGACUCGGACUCCUUGGAGCAGUUGCUCUGCUCCCUUUCGGACGCCAACGAUUUAUCUAACGUAAACGAAUGAAAGUGACAUUUUGACCAAAACAAAAUUGAUGUGUGUAUAUGGCUUUUUAAUUACAAAUUACUUACCUUAACGCUAACGGUUAGUCAAGAGGACAACUAGGUACAAACAUUAAGGAUUAAAUUAAUAGAGGCGCUUAAGACUAAAGAGAAUAAUAAUAAUCACAAAGCCUUCAAUUAUUUUGGCACACUGCUUUUUUGACAACUGUGGGAUGAGGACCUUAGGGACAAAAUCGAGGUAGUCGCCAGUACUAUAAUAAUCUUUGAACCAAAGAAACGAAAAGGGCAGGCUAAUACUAUCUUAAUCUGGUGGCGUCUGAUAGCUUGUUAAUUGUUUUAAGCUCCCGAUAUGACUAUGAGGUCCACAUGAUUUCUUGAAAUUCGUAUGAUCUCUCUCUCUCUCUCUCUCCCCCAUUUAAAGUUGGCGCAUAAUUAAUGAAUUAUAAUAAUAAAUUCUUCAUGGGCAACUAAAGUAAAGUAAAGGCCUAGCUUAUAGACGACGUAAAUCUCGUGGUAGUCAGUCAUAUAAAUCAUAUAUACACCCAGAAAAGAGAACAAAAAUACACAUGACCUCGCUGUAGGGGUACGUGGGUUAGGCCCGAAUCAUGAUUUGAUGUUUUUUUUGGGUAGCAUGAAUUAUGAUUAGCACAACGAAAGAAAGAAAGGAAGGAAUACUUGAGGCGUGAAGCCAAUGAUUUGGCCUGCAGCGACGGAAAGGAAAAGAAAGAAAACAAUUCGAUCAAUUUAAUUACAGCUUAAUCAUGGGCAGUGGGAGUGUAGGACUUCGGGAGCGAGAGAGAGGGAGAUGAGAGAUACUAUAUCAUACGGGUUCAUCUUCUCAUGAGCGAUGAGCCCGCAGCCGGUGGUCGGUGGGUGGCACAUUAAAUUAGUACGGAAAUUCCCCAGUUGCCACGGUUACUGCGAUGUAGAUGGAAUAGCUACCCUCAUUUAAUGGCAGACCAACUUAUUCCUUGUUGUGCAUAUCUUUCUCAGUACGUGACCAAUUAUUAUUAUUAUUGUGUGUGCGCGUCUGUAUAUAUAUAGAGUAUAGACGUCUUACAUAUGUGCCGUGUAUGAUGGAUAGAGGGAUUGGCAAGAAAAGAAUUAAGGAUUAAAACUCUAAUAGAGUCUUAUUAGAUGGAUCAAUUCAAAUGAUAAUAAGACCUAUCUCUUGAUGAAAGAAUUAAUUAAAAUAAAAAUAACGAGUCACCAUUGAUACCCGACAUAUUUGAGAUCUCAAAAAUUCCUCUAUUCAACCCUUUUCCUUCUUCUUAUUAUUGCUAAGAAGAUAUCUCGUUCGUAGACAUUAAUUAUUGUUGUAAAUAUACGUCCCUGCAUGUCUUACAUAUGUGACGUGUAAAUGGAUUGGUGGAUAAGUAAUUAAUAGCGUAAAAUCCUAUAUAUUUGUGAGAAGUGUAGUGUGAAUAGUUAAUUCAGAAAAUUCAAUAAAAAUCCUUUAACUUAAAAUUUUGCACACAAACUAAGUAGUGUUUAAUACAUCUAGCAAUAAGUAAUUUCUAUUAUCAAACCCAAAAAAAAUUCUGAAUGAAUUAAUUUUUAGCAUUAAGUAAAAGUUAUCAAACACGCCUUAAGCGUAACGUGGGAGGCAUACAUAUUUUUGUGAUACAAAAUUGUUGGCAGUGGAAACCAAAAUCUAGUAACUCUUGAAUCCUUGCCCUUGAAAUUUGGAAAAGGCAAACGCUUUAAUUAAUGUCUAUGAUAUCACCAUGCUAAUACAUAUAUCUAUUAUAGUAACAGGAAAAAAACUAUAUGGAUACGUAACUCAUUUAAUCAAAGUUUUAAAAUUUUUGGAAUAUUUUUUAAAAAUUAACAUUCCACCCACCACUAUUAUCCACUACCGCCACCAUUCCCCCUCUCCCUCCUUCACUCCUCUCCCCGUCCCUCUUCCUCCCUUCCCUUUCUCUGCCCUUUCUCGUUACAUCUCGCCCCUCCCCUUCCUUCCCCUCUCCGAUCUAGUUGAGGCUAGAGGGAGGAGGUGGGGUAUGGCGGGGAAGGGGAGGGAAAGGGAAAGGAAAGAGGGGAAGAGGAAAGAGGGGAAGAAGGAAGAGUAAGGGAGAGGAAUGAGGAGGAAAGAGAGGGAGGAGGUAGAUGGUGGGUGCGGGUGAUGAUAGUGGUGGUGAUAGAUAGAAGAAGAAAAUAGUAUAGAUUUUAUUUUUUAAUUUUUUUUGUGUACUUGAAAUUAUUGUUGAUAUAUUAUAUGGAUAUGUAUUUUUUGAAUUGUUUUUGCUUGUGCAUUAUUAUAGUAUUAUAUGUAAAAAACUUGUUUUUAAAAAAAUGGAGAAACCAAACAGAGCCAGUAAUAUGUGGUAUUGAGUACUUGACUAUUUACCAACUCCAUGUGCACGCCGGAGUCAUUGAAUAUUGAGGCUUGGCGACGGAUGACCAACUCUUGUACCGUACUAAUUGCUAAUAUUUUUUUUAACCAACUCCCUUAGGCGAGUUGACCACCACGUAAAAUAUAUGAGUUGCAAGUCAGAAAUUCAAACAGAGAGUGCACUAAUGCACCAUUUGUAAUCCUCUUCCACUAAUUUUUUUAACUCAGUUGGAUCCUUCCUUGAUAUAGUUAAUGCACCUCCCUUAAUUCUUUUGGUCCAAUUUAAUCGUUUCCUAACAUAUAGUAUUAGAGUAGAAAUAGAAAUAAGAGUUAACAAUUGAUAAAAAUAAAAAAAAAUCCUUUGCUCCUUUGUUUUUCUUCUUCUUCUUUUUUUUUUUCGGGUUAGUACUCGUUUUUGGCGAUCUAAUCCUAAAAACACAUAGUCCUCAUGGCCUAACAAUAGAAGUAAGAAUAGACAAUUGACAAACAAAAACGCAAACCUUUUUCUCCUUAAUUUUUUCCCCUGAGUUAGCACUUGUUUUUGGCCACCUAAUCCUAAACGUACUUCACAGGAUUUCAUAAAGAUCAGACCUGAAAAUUUUUUCACUUAUCUGUGGAACCAAUUGAUUAUCUUGAAUCCAGAGAUAAUUUUUUUUUGUAAUUUAUAAGGUAGAAAAUAUCGACACAACUGCAGCAGCGUCUAUGACAUACCCCAAAGGGGAGUGCAAAUGCGACAUAAAUAGUUCCAAUUCCGGUGAUAUUGUUCCGAAAACCCUAAUUGACAUCCAUCUUUGAUGCAUAAUAGUGCUUCCAACACAAAACCGCCUUGUUUGGUCGCAAGACGCCAGCCAGUGCAAUAUGGCACUCGACAAUCUAACAACUUUCUGCUCAACAUUAUUAUUAGUUUCCUUCAAGAGUAAAUAUUACUCAUUUCCGAAAGUUGAGUCACCAAAUGAAUCAUGAUUAGUAAUCUACGUCCAAGCAUGCUCAUCUCUUAGGACUCAAACUUCUUCAUCUGAACUAACAAAAUCUAAUUCGAUCAUUUUUUCUCCAACAAAAUUCACUCUCUCUCCUUGACUCUGCGACAAUUUUACCCUUUUCGUUUCUGGUUCUUCAUAUGAUUUUUCUAUCUGACGACCCUUUUUCGUUGAAGUUGAUAACCUGAAAAUGGUAGAAAAUCUUCAGCAAAAUGGUGUACCCGAAACAAAGCAAACAAAGAGAUCUUGCAUCCCAAUUUUUCAAUUUACCUUUUGUUCGAAUUAUUUAGCGGUUCUUUUGGACUCAAUUUUCCUGUAGCUGAGAAGAGGGAAAAAGUUAAAAAGAGAAAAACCCUAAGCAUCAAAUUCUAGAGCACAAAAUGUAUGUAUGCCCAACCUGUAACUUCUGCAAGGAAUCGAAUCCCCUGCGAACACACAUUAGUUGUUAAUUUGCCUGCAUUACUGCAUGAAUACAACUUCUUUUUGUUAGCAACAACAUCAGAGUAAAUUCAAAAUUCAGCCUGAAGUUCUAACAUGCACAAUCAUCUCUCCAGAUCAGUCAUCCAAGCAGAAGUAAAAGGUAUUUCCAAGUAAUACUGAAAUAUACUGCAGGCAAUGGAAAAUGAAGUCAAAAGCCUAUAACUUGACAAAUAACACCAGAGUAUGGAGAUGGUUACCACAAAGUAGGAAUGGGUCUCACAAAAAUUAUGUUGACUAAUUAUCAAUUUCCUAAAUUUCAUGGUCCUAUUUAUAUGACGUCAAUAGCACAAAGAAAAUAAGAUUAAUGAAGGCUUGUCUACAAUUGAGUGAGUUGACAGUUCCAAAUUAUCCUACUGAUGACUGAAAAUCUCUGAGUAGCUCUACAUGAUCUACCAAUUCCCAAACAAACCUUAAGGCCUUCUUCAACCCAUCUACAGACAAUAACUUCAAUGGUGCUUGAUUUUUUGAAGAUUUUAUUCCAUUAACUGAAGGAUUGACCAAGUAAAUUCCUUCUGGCUUCAGAGGAUCCCUGAAGGCUGUCCUCAAAUUCCUGAAAAAUGAAAGGCAAAUAAAACUGUCAUAGUUCAAGAAACUAAUCUCCUCCAGUAGAUUUCUAGACAACCAACAACUUUAUGCAUAGAUAGUUGUGACUCACCCUCCUUUGAGCUCUGUCCUUUUAAGAGAGUAUUUUUCUGAUGUUUUCUAAAAGAAAAAUCAAAUGAAAAAGACAGAGAAGAAGUCAGAAUAUAUCACCAAAAGAUAAGCAAAACUGAGAGCUUAAAAAUUACAUAUACCUGUCUAUGGUAGGUGCAAUAUAUUCCUCUACGUCUGCAGAUCAUAACAUGUUUAAUAGAUGGAGUGAGUGGAGCAUCAAUUGUGUAUCACCAAAAAAAAAAAAAAAAUUAUUUUAGGAUCAGGAACACAGAACUAAUACAUUCAUCAUUCUGUCAAGCAUAAGAAAAUUCUAUCCUCAUAGUUGUUUUAGACAGAAUAAUCUCCUCUUCUUCCUUUUUCUACAUCAAUGCCAAGAAAAAACUGAAACAUGUUCUUUGCCGUUUGACUAGACCAAUCAACAAGAACAUUUUAAAGGCCAUUUAGCAAAAAUAAACACUUCAUCGACAGCCACACAGAACCUGAACAGUUUUUAUUUCCCUUGUUAAGCAACUACAAAUAGUAGCCGAGAAUCUCAAUCACUAUACUUGUGAUAAAAUCAUAGUUGUAAUUUUAAAGAACUAGAUUUUAUAUGUUUAAAAAUUGAAUAGACUAUUUCCAAUCAAAUUAACGUAAACAUUCUGAUAACAAGAUGAUUACUUACUUAUUAAUGACUAAUGUGCAGGCCAUCCCAUCCUUCUUCUUCCCCUUGCAGACUCCAUAAUCCAAAGAAGUGCCGAUUUUUAAGAUGUUACAAGCAGAAUAAACACUCAGACAGAAUCCAUUUUCCUAAAAGAAAUAAGGAAAGAAAAGGGUCACUAUGUUCAAAGUCCUCCAUGUACUAAUAAGACUUAAUAGUGAACAGGUAAGAAAGAGUACCGAGUUGUCCUUGCGGACGGCGCAAUUAAAAAGACCAAAGACAGUUCCAGCCUUCUCAUUGCAGUUUCUCUGAUAGGCAUCACCGAACAAGAAAAGAGAAACAGUCAUUUCAUCCAAACAACCAAUUUUCCAGAUUGCAAAAGGCUUCCCUGUAGAACUAGUUCUUUGGUUGCCUUUCUCAGUUAAAACUCCAAUAGUUGCCCAGCACCCAGAGAGAGUAUCCCCUUUCAACAAAUUCCUGAAAGUCAACAAGGUUUCCCUUAUUAACUGCAUCAAAAUUGCAAGGAUCAGACAGUCCAAGGAAGCUAUGCAAGAUUUGAACAUACUUUAUGGCCGGUAAUCGAAUAAACCGGAUAUCUGAAAUACGGUUGCUCAGCUCAACAGAUGAGAUAACUUGAUUCCUGAUCAAGAAAAUUGAUAAAAAAAUACUUAAACACAGCAGCCCAGUUCAACGGAUGAGACUGCUUAACUCUAAUUAUUUCAUUUUGUAGUUCCAAAUUCAUCGAGAGAUGUUAGCUCAAUGCGGUUGUUUUUUUGACAGUCUAGGGCUCAUCUGAUUAACCUGAUCAACAAACACCAACAGAAAUGUACGGUAGCUACAGAAGCUUUUCGAAGGAAAAGAGUGACAAAAAAAAAAGGCCAUUUCAAGGAUUAUGGCGAAUGUCAUUUUAUCAAAUGCUAGAUAGACAUACCGAAUUCUCAAACCUGAGAACUUCUCAAUAUAAAUAUAUAUGUGCAUAAUAAGAUAUUCAAUGGACUAAUUUAAGAUUUUAUCUGAUAAAAAGUUUAAUAUUUUUAAAGAACUUGGACUUUCAUGAAUAAAUAUUUUAAAUUAUAAGUUCAAACAAAUAAAUUUCAUCUCAAUCGUGUCUACCAAGAUAUAAUCUUAAACCCUACCAAAGAAUACUACAGUAUUUUCAAAUUAAACAAAAUUCAUGUCUUUAGGAAUUAGAAAUUGUGAAUUGAAACUUUAAACCAUGUUAAAAAAAAUUUUUGGAGCCUAGAUGAAGUCAAAAAAAUUAGAAAGCAAAGAUGAAAACUUGAUAAAAGGCAAAAGACGAGAAUAAAGUGAGUGAAUGUGGCACUUGAUGACUAGUUUUUGGAGUUACGAAGAACAUAUUCUUUUUUUUUUUAGUUUAAUAUGCCAAAACAAAAAAUUGCCGGUUCAAGAGUUCAUUUCGAUUCAAACAGUUUGCAUGAUUCAUAUGAUUCUCACUGGUUCUUAAGUCCAAUCGACCCAAAACAUAAAUUAGAUCGGAACCACGACCAGUUUGUGGUCUAACCAGUCAAACCGGUAAGUUUAACCCGGGUUUCAAAACACUUGGGUGCCAUGGAUGGAAUAUAAACUUCAAUAUUUGGUUCUUAAAUGGCGGACGCUAUCGCGAGAAACAUACACAUUUGUAUUGCAGCUCCCAUUCGGACAGAUUCCCCUCGAGAUCCUUUUUACCGCAACAUGGAAUUUGAUAGGUAGAUUUGUGUUCUACAAGCGAUCAUAGUCACUUUCAGAUUUACAAAUAUUUCCGUAAACUUUGGCAUAGACAUAGGCGUAGUAAAAUAUGCUACUACUAUGUAUUUAUAUCACAAUAAUACGAAAUAAUAAUUUAGCAUGAGCAUAAUAUUACACUAUGAAAAUAAUUCCGCAGUCUAUUGGUUAACACUUUUUCUUUUUUUUUUUUGGCAACAAGAAGUCCGUUAGUAUGACUGGUAUCACUCCAACAUUUCCCGCCAUUUAGGAAAAACGGUUAAAGACCGGACCAAGUUGUGAGAUCGAUGGACAAAACUCGUCCAUCCAUACAUGCUUCUAACUAAUCACCUCAGACAUAACAUAAUCAGGCAAACGGUCGGAGAUCAGUGCUUUGUUUUAACUUUUUUUUUUUUUUUUUUUUUAAACUAACAUGUUUUUUUGUUAAACUAACAUGUAAAAAAUGCAAGCCCUUUUUUUUUCUCUCCAUAUUUUGGAAGAAGAAGAAAGAGAAAAAAAAAAAAGAAGAAAAAAAAGCGCAAGCAACGGAUGGGAAGUCAAAGAAAUGAGAGUGAGAAUCCGAAAGAUCCUCCAAGGCCUUACAUUUACCGGACGGUUCUCUAUAACAUUGGUGGUUUCAGGCAAAAUCUACAAGACAGCUGCUGGGCACUUCCUCUCAGAUUAGGGGGAAGAGGUCCCGUUAUAGCUCUCUUCCUGCUUUUGGCUUGGCCCACUUUAACGUUCUCAAAAAAAGAAAAAAAAAAUCUCAAACGAGAACCAAGAAAACAAAACAAAAGAUCAUUUCAUCUGUUAGAAGGUGAAUGCGUCCAAUCUGAUCAGCCAUUUAUUUUUUCCUGUUAAUUUCUUUGUGCAAAAGGAAAAAAUAAGGACUCAAUUAUGGCUCAUCAGCACUAUCGAAUCCUUGUGUUGUCACUCCUUUUGCUGUUAGCAUCUUCUGCUGCUGGGGUUGGCAGAAAGAAAAAGACAGUCACCUAUGACAGCCGCUCAAUCAUCAUCGACGGUAGCAGAGAACUGCUCUUCUCCGGUUCAAUUCAUUAUCCCCGUAGCCCUCCUGAGGUAACAAUAACCUUCUCUAACAUACGUUACUCUUGCGCUGUACGUAUUGGAUAUUUUAAAUGUAACUACACAUUUAAAUACCACUACUAAACUUUGCUUGGAUUUUCAGAUGUGGCCGGAGCUCAUACAAAGGGCUAAAGAAGGAGGUUUAAACGUAAUCCAGACCUAUGUAUUCUGGAAUCUCCACGAGCCUGUUCAGGGCCAGGUAAACCAGUUCAAAAAAAAAAUUAUUUUUUUGGGCUGAAGAUGCCUCAUUAGCAUUUCCCUCAUGAAUAAGCGACUAAUCAUAAAAUAUUGCAUGAUUCUCUGGAACGCACGCACGCAGUUCAUUUUUGAUGGCAACAAUGAUAUUGUCAAAUUCAUUAAAAUGAUCGGGGAGCAAGGCCUGUACGUGACUCUCAGAGUUGGACCUUAUAUUGAGGCCGAAUGGAAUGCAGGGUACGUAUACACCGCCAGUUUUCUUCAAUUAUUUGUGUGUUUUUCCUAGAUGAUGUACAUUCCUUUUUGAAACUGCUGUUCUUGCUCAGAGGAUUUCCGUAUUGGUUGAGAGAGGUCCCAAACAUCACAUUCCGCUCUUACAAUGAACCAUUCAUGGUAACCUUCAUCCACAAACUUAUCUGUCAUAUCUCACUGUUUGUUAUUUAACACAUUUCAAUUUCAUGGAAUUUGCUUCACCUACUACUCUUUGGCCUCCAGCACCACAUGCAAAGAUAUACUGAUACCAUCAUCGAUUUGAUGAAAAAGAAUAAGUUAUUUGCACCUCAGGGUGGUCCUAUCAUUAUGGCUCAGGUUUGUUUCGUAUCCUGCAAUUCUUUUAUCAAUAGUUACCUACAAUAUCUUUUAAAACGUCACACCUGAACGAGCGUGGUUAUCGUCCUUCCUCAGUUCAUUCCAUAUGUUUUCCAUUUUUUGCCCCUACAGAUUGAGAACGAAUACAACAACGUCCAACUUGCAUAUAGGGAUCUGGGCAAGAAAUAUGUCGACUGGGCAGCAAAUAUGGCUGUGAGUCUGUAUGAUCAAGUCCCAUGGGUCAUGUGCAAACAGAAGGAUGCCCCUCCGACAGUGGUAUGUUCUUGUCGGCCCUAUAUCCAAAAAAGCUUCUUUCAGGGAAAAACCCCUUGCAUUUUCCUCCGUUUCGUCCGACUAAUAGGGUUUGGCCGUCUUUAUAGAUUAGUACCUGCAACGGAAGGCAUUGCGGAGAGACAUUCCGUGGUUCAAAUGGUCCAAAUAAGCCUACCCUCUGGACCGAGAACUGGACCGCUCAGUAAGUAUUAACCUGUAAUUGAGCCGUUAACAAGCUUUCUAUCAGUGUCAUGAUCAGUGUACUGUAAAUGGUGUUGAAAGCAAGCAUUGGCGUAUACUUAAAACUACUGAAUCAUUCAAAAAUUAUGAGAAUUCAAGUUAAAAACUACUGAAUCAUUUAGAGAAUUAUUUUUGGAGCCUUCAUUUUAAUUUCGAGAAUCAUCCCUAAAUAUGUCUGACUUACAAAGUAUGAAUGCUGAUGUGAUUACAGGUACAGGACAUUUGGUGAUCCUCCAGCACAAAGAGCAGCAGAAGAUAUUGCCUUUGCUGUAGCUCUCUUCUUUGCCAGGAAUGGAACCCUUAACAAUUACUACAUGGUUAGUAGCACCUCCUAAGAAUCAUGAUCCCCAAAUAAGAGAUUAUGUUGUUCAACAACCUUGCGCUUGCAUGCAGUACCACGGCGGAACAAAUUUUGGUCGAACAAGCUCUUCCUUUGUGACAACUCGCUACUAUGAUGAGGCUCCUUUGGAUGAAUUCGGUUAGCGUCCAUAAGCGUAAAUUCAAUAGUUUCAAGGAACCAAGUGAUCAAAUACACAAUGACAUUCAUUUCGCUUUCCAUUCAGGCUUGCCGAGGGAACCCAAAUUCGGUCACCUCAGAGACUUGCACAGGGCCUUAAGAUUGUCCAAAAAGGCUUUGCUUUGGGGCACUCCAAGCGUACAGCAGAUUGAUCAGGACUUACAGGUAAUUGAGAAUUUAAGUUGAUCGAGAGAGGUAGAAAAACACCAUGGUAAGUAAGAGUCUCUUGUUAAACUUUCUAGUCCAGAAGAAACAAUAAAAAAAUAUAUGUACGUUCUUCUCUGCAGGUCAUAACAUACGAGAAUCCCAAUGUUCAGAAUGUUUGUGCUGCUUUCUUGAUUAACAAUCGUACAACAACUCCAGCCACGAUAAGUUUUAGGGGUGUGGAUUACUAUUUGCCUGCAAAAUCCAUUAGCAUCCUGCCAGACUGCAAGACUGUAGUUUACAACACUGUAACGGUAAUUUUAUGUUCCCUUGUCUCGCCCCCUAAAGUCCCCCAGUUAAAGGAACAGUGACUUUUACUAAAAAUCUUUCCAUUUCUUUUUGGGGUUUUAACAAAAAAAAAAAAAAAACGAACAGAUUGCGUCACAACACAACUCAAGAAACUUCGAAGAAUCAAGCAAGGUGGGAGUUCUUGACUGGGAAUUUUUUUCAGAAAGCAUCCCAAGCAUGGACCAGUUGUCACAGGAGAGCAAGGCACCAUUGGAGCUGUACAGUCUGACAAAGGAUACUUCAGAUUAUGCCUGGUACCGCACCAGGUAAUUGUGACAUCUUAAACAAGCCUAUAGAAGAUAAAACAAUAUAUACACACACGCACACCACAAGAGACUCAAAUAUAACUCAAAAUGCAAAAAGGCCUUGGUAGAACCACAUAUACUGAGGUGUAUAUACUACAAAAAUAUUUCUGUGAACGUCAUGAUUUAUAACGUUUCAUAACAAUUAUUGCAGCAUCCAUUUUGACAAACGCGACUUACCAAUGAAGGCUGGAGUUCUCCCAGUCCUCCAGGCUUUGAGUCUUGGUCACGCAUUGCUUGCUUUUGUGAAUGGAGAGUACAUAGGUAAACGAAAAUUCAGAACACCAAAAGAAAGAAGCUUGACUUGUAGUAAUACAAGAAUUGAAUCUACCAUUAGCUAAGUUCAUGCUCAAUUUCAGGAUUCCAACAUGGAAACAACAUCGAGAAGAGCUUUGUAUUCCAGAAACCUAUUAGCUUGAAACCUGGUGUUAACGAGAUUUCAUUGUUGGGAAUGACUGUUGGAUUUCCGGUAUAUCUGUUACUCUUGCAACUUUAAAAUCAAUUUGUUCCCCGCAGAAAUUUUCCCUGACAGAGAACGUUCUUUCAUUGAUACAGAAUAGCGGAGCCUACAUGGAGAAGAGGUUUGCUGGACCACGAGUUGUGACACUCCAAGGUUUGAUGUCUGGUACACUUGACAUCACAAUGAACAAUUGGAAGCACCAGGUUGGCUUAAAUGGAGAAAGGCUCCAAUAUUUCACUGAAGAAGGCUCAAGCAAAGUGGGCUGGAAGAAGUUAAACGCAGCAGGAAACUUAGGCGGGGUAAAUGCUCCCCUUACAUGGUACAAGGUAAUAAAAAGAAUAGUAGCAGUGUUUUUGCACUUCGAAUUUAAACAAGGCAAAUGCGCAACUCUAGAACAGAAUCUUGCUAGUAGUCCAGAAACAAAAAAGACAAGGAGCAAUGCCCUUAAUGAAUCGGUGUGUUUAAUUUUCAGACAUAUUUUGAUGCUCCAGAGGGCAAUGGUCCAGUUGCCAUCCAAAUGGAUAAAAUGGCCAAGGGGAUGAUCUGGGUCAACGGCAGAAACAUCGGUCGCUAUUGGGUAUCUUUCCUCUCUCCCCUGGGGCAACCUACUCAAUCUGAGUAAGUAUAAUCCUACUACUUCUUGUACCUUCGAUCAAGAAUGAAACUAGCUAGUUGUAACUAACUUAAGAAUCUAUCAAGAAUACGUUGUAAUUCUUUUUUUUUCCCCCUUAUUCAGGUACCAUAUUCCAAGAGCUUUCUUGAAGCAAACUAAGAAUCUCCUAGUUGUUCUAGAGGAAACCGGAGGAGAUCCAAGAGAAAUCAAGCUCGUAACAGUCAACAGAGAUACCAUUUGCAGCUUCAUCACCGAAUAUCACCCACCCCAAGUGAAAUCAUGGGUAAGGACUGGAGACCAAAUGCGCGCAGUUGUGGAGAAUAUCACAUCAGGAGCUCAUCUAAACUGUCCUGGCAACAAAGUAAUCAAAGCAAUUGAAUUUGCAAGCUUUGGUGAUCCUUAUGGAGUCUGUGGAACAUUUGCUAUUGGAGAGUGCAAUGCGCCAAAUGCCCUCCAAAUUGCUGAACAGGUAAAUUUAAAAAAAAAAAAAAUCCACUAGCACGACUAGGUAAAUGUAAUGAACCCCGUUGAAUGACCAGGAGUUAAUAUAUUCGAUCGCUGAUGCUAAUGAUGACUGUUCCAAUAAAAAUGUGAUUGCUGCUAACUUGUUUUCUCGGUGGAUUUGAACAGUAUUGCAAAGGGAAGAAGGAGUGCACAAUUCCAAUGGAUAAAGGACUUUUCUUUGGGGCCAACGACGCUUGCCCACAUAUUGCAAAAACAUUGGCAGUGCAGGCCAGGUGUGGCAACCCAGGGAAUAACUCUUCUUAAUUAAGAGAGUGUCUGUCAGAUAGAGUAGAAAGAGCAUUGUUGAUUUUUAUGUUAAUCAAAAAAAUUGAGACUCUGGAUUUAAGGCCUGUGGUAGAUUCAAUCUUUUAACUCCACUUUGAACUGUAUAAUGCUGCAGUCGAAAGCUCGUUCUCUGUAUUGCUUCCAUCUCCUGCGGUAUUAUUCCGCCUUUUUAUCUUUUGAGUAAAUAAGUUUAAGGAGAAGCUAAUUUUCUCCGUAGCUUCUCCAGCAUCUCUAUGUUUUCUUGUAGCAUUAAUUUCCUUUUUUCACCAGCGAAUCACUUCAUCGGUGCGAAAACAUGCUUAAUCGAGAAGAAAAAUAAUUGCCAAAGUCUGACACCUGAUCAAAGGAAGACAAUGGUUUAUAAAUAUUCAUGUAAUUUUUUUUCCCGUGUUACCGGGAUCGGAAAGGUUAACAAAAUUUCGCUUUGGAGUGUCCUUUGGCACAAUAGCAUCUAAACAUUGAAACGUCUGUUUGAUGAUUAUAGUAGACUUCUACUCGACUAUAUUAUGUAAUCCACUUAAGAGUAAUCGCAAUCGUUAAUUUUAUCGGCUAGGACUGUAGGUUUUGUACAAAUUUAUGGAUCAAUCCCUGAGCUUUUCCUCUUCUUCUUUUCAUUUUUCCAUUUGUAUGCUGAUUCUACAUCUUCUUUUACUUUUUAUCUUUUUUUUUUGGGGGGGGGGGGGGGGGAAUGUCAUCAGCUAUAUACUUUGUGGAUUGCAUACACGUACUAGACAUUAGUGACCCUGGUUUAUGAUCUAAUUUUGUUUAAGUAAAACAAGAAGUCUGGGGAUUGAGCGAGAAGGCCAAAACAAAUGCUGCGAGACAGUAGACACAACUACCCAUUCUACAUGAUGGGAGUAUGGGACUGUUGAACAGAGUGAGAUCAAUAUGAAACUGACCAAAUCAGUAGGGAUUAUACUAUUCCCUCUAAUUCUGAAACCCCAAAAAAAAAAAUUUUUUUUUGCUCGUCUUUCAAUGCUCUUCCACCCCCUCCCCCCCAACCACACCCAACAAAAGAGACAGAGAGAGAGAGGGAGAGAGAGGGAGGGAGUCAUGGAGAAGAAUUAACCAGCCAUAUCCAAGUAUCAGAAAAAAAAAUAAAAAAAGUGGCAUCAGGCUAUUCAAAUACCAAAUGGUUGGCGAAAGAAGUGAGACAGUUUCCCAUGCCAAAAGAUGUUGCACAUCCAAAUCUAUAUAGUAUAUUCUAUGCAAAAACUGAAAAAAAAAAAAGAGAAUUGCAACACAUUCGACUAAAGAUUUAAUAACGGAAAAUGAGAAACAGAAGAUGGAGCAAACUCAUACCUCAGGAGAAUACUGCGUAGCCAUGCUACUACGUGCAUGCAUGCAUGCUGACACCUUAUUUAUGGAUGAACGCUACGUGAAUUGACGAUUAAAUUUCACCUUCUUCCUCUGGUUAGUGAUUUAGAAAUUGAGAGCUAGGCAUGCUAACAAGAACAAGUCACAGGACUUUGCCAUCAACCUUCAAUUCGAAACAUAAUGGGGAAUUUAAGGACAUAAAAGAUAAGAAAUAUCCCUGUUUAGUUAAUUGAUUAUGAUAUCAAGGGGCAUGGAGCUAGAUUAUUUCAAGAUGAGUGCUUUAUCGUACGUAAUAACUAUGCUAAACAAAUACUAGGAAAAAAAACAGAACAAUUUAAAAUUGUGAAAAGGAAGAAAACAACCUAUCCAGAAUAUGAGACCAUAAUGCAUUAGAAGAAGGGAAAAGCCAUAGUUGAUUUACCAUUGCACAGGUGAUGAUUUUUACCGCUUCAGUCGGCGGAGGAGGGAAAAUAGAGAAUGAUUUUCAGAAGUUUUCACGUCUUGGGAGUGUAAAUAAAUAUGUUCCAAUACAUCAGGUACGGUUGCUCAAUUUUGUUCAAAGGUAUAUAUAGUACUGGUUGGAUACAACGCGUAUGCUACGCGGAUAGGACGCGUACAUGUCGAAUAUUUUUUGUAUGACAUGUCGAAUAGUUGAAGAGCUCUAUACAAUUUAUUUAUUUCAUAAGGCUCAAGCGAAAAUGAAGAGACAAUAAUUUAUUUUGCACAUUCAGUUUGGGGUAAAAGUUAAAAGACAAGAAUUUGUUUGCAAACCUUAAAAUUCUUUUUUUUUUUUUUUCCAUUCUUCUCCCAACAAUCCGUCUCAUAGGCUACAGGCCACAAUGUAAUAGGCUGCUAGUACCACAAUUUUCGACAUCUUCCCUAAAACGUACAGAUUCAUCAAUUAAUCAUCCCUAUAGUUUCAAUCAAAAUUGCAAUGGAUCAAAGAACUUGAGCAUGAAACGAAAAUUGUGUAUAUUUCCUUCCUCAGAAUCUAACCAUCAAACUAAACGAGAUAAUAUUAAUAUAAGACAAAAAGAAAGGCAACAAUUAAUUUUAAAGUGCCAUAAAUUUAUCUCUAGCUAGUCAAAUAAAUAAAUAAAGUGUACCAGAAACCACCAAACUAAAAAUUUUGUUCUAGUCUAACCUGCUCAGCUCCUGAAAGUAUUCAGCCAGUCCAUUCUGUCAGUUUCUUUGGAGGGAAAUGUUAGGUGCUCUUUGCAUACCACUAGACUGUGGACAUUGCCAGAUUCUUAUGCUGACUAGCCCUUCCACGGCUGUCUCCACUGACAUUUGCAGCAACGUUCUACUUCCAUGGUCUGAAUUCGAUUAGGAUUUUCUGGGUUUCCCUAUUUAGGAUGUAAAUCUGAUGAAAUGCUUAUGCAUAGAGAAAAGAGUAUAUGAUUUGAUCAAUGUAUCUAAUUUGGUGCCUAAGAAUUUUAUUUCAAACAAGAUUCGUGAUUUGUCUUGCCAGUUUGGGAGUCUUGCAAAUGCAUGUAAAAUUUCUGAUUAAAUGGGUGAGGGGGAAUUGUAUUCCUAGAAUGCCAGAAAAAGACGAUCAUUCUUUUUCGGAUUGUAAUGAAAUUGAGUUAUGUUAGGCAUAACCAGCCAAACCAUAUGUUUGAGUUGUACAAGUUGAUGUCGAAAAAUGGAAGAUUGGUCUGUGUUCAGAGUUUCUAACUCGCUCUUGCUUCUGUUCAUGGUUACAGUUGGGGAAAGGCGAUUUAUCGAAGGAAAAUGUCCAAACCGUGCCUGCUAAGAUGGUGUGCAGUAUUCUGUUUCUUUUAGUGUUGACGGAAUGGGCUAUAUGUACACUGUCCAAGCCUAUCAGUCUUCCUGUAUAAAAAUUGCGAAGCAAAUAUGCUGUUGAAAUUUGUCGCUCUCGUCCUUGUUUUCAUAUCUCCGGUUCCACCCCCCCCCCCCUCCCCAAAAAAACACCAGAAAAAAAGAAAAAUUUGCAGACAAGCACUUAGAGACAUACACAUGCACAUUGAAUACGUGCAGAAGCAGGAAAUCAGGAGGGUUUCCAUAAAAAUGGGAUGAUCAGAGGCGAUCAAAGUUCAAGGUCAUUCUAGAGUAUGAGUUGGGUACGUUCCAGCGACGACGGUGACUCAAUCAAAGAUGGGUUGUUUUCUAAAUCAACAAAAUAAACAAUAAAGGUCGUUUGCCCUGGUAAAGAUCAUUAGCGUCUUUUAACUUCGAAGAGGACAUGAGCGGGAGAAAUAUAUCAGAUGCUGUGCAGACGAACACACACUGGAAAUUACGCAGAUGAAAUCAGGGGCACCUGUCUCGAUUGACAAGCAUUUCUGUUGAGCUCUUAAUACUACUGAACCCAUUUCACCCCCCCCCCCCCCGGGUAUAGUCCCCAGCCAGACAGUAAUCUAUCACAACCCAAAAACUACAGUGAACUUUACCCUUUCAUUUUUACCUUUGAACGAAUAUUCCACGGCAACGCAGAGCCCAGAGAAGUCUGUACGUACUCCCACGACUCCCCAAAUUAUAUUUACUUCAAAAACAGACGGUAGCGUUUCCAGGUAGUUGUAACCAAGCAUUUCCAGAAAUCCUUGAGUUAAAAGACUCGCUGAAAAGUAUCAUCCACCCAACUCUACCAAUAGCAUGACGAGACUUUGUUUUGCAGGUGUACUCGUUGUCUCAGCCAUGUCAUGACCAUGAGAUGCAGAUGUUAUCCUAGUCGCAAUAUUUUUAGGCGCAACAUUCUGUUUAUUGCUAGAAAAGAAUAUAAAACUCACAUCAACAAUGCGUUUCAAAUUUAAAAGACAAAAGGAAAGAGGCUAGCCACAUGCUUUGCAAUACAUAUAUCUCCAUCUAACCUUCAAGUCAAAAUGAAAAUGAAAGAAUAAAUUUCUACUUAUUUACAAGCACUAGCAGCACAUAUCCCUUGGUUGUUGCAAAGCCUUCUCUGCACCAUGCCGUAAUUUAUCA